UAUUAUUAUUUUCUCUUAUAGGCCUGCAAUAAUUUUCUUACUCUCAUUGAUUAUCUUCCAGGAAAUCAUCACAUUUUAUUCAAAAAUAUUGAUUAUGUGAAAAUUUAUUUUUUGGAGAAAGUAAAAAAAAAAAAAAAAGAAGAAUCCCUGGAUGUUUAUGAUCCUCAGUACUUCAUUGACUAUUUCCUGAUAAAAAUGGCCCAGGUAAAGUGUUGCCAUCAGCCUAGUCUUUUGAUUCCUUGAUCACGUUCACUUACAAGCUGUAACUUUGCUAGGGAUGUUACAUGGUCAGGACAAUAGUGAUUGUCAAGCACUCGGAUAACCUAGGGGAGCAUGAAUAUCCAUGAAGCAUCAUGGAAAACAUGCAAUUAUUAAAUAAUUAGAAUAUGCUGACUCUAUUCUUUAGAUAAAAAUCUAUGUGAGGAGAAAGAGAAUGCACAUCGAGGUGUUUGAGAGAGUUAAUAAAUACAUAAAUUGUUAGUUAGACUGACUCAAAGAAAGAAGAGAUGACACAAAUUAAUAAUAAAACAAAAGCAAGGACAUGGCUGCUGAAGAGACAAUUUCCAAUCAAAUUACAACAUAUAAAAUACCAUGCCAUGACAUGAGGAUGUGAAAAACCAGCCUCUACCUCAGAGCAAAGCCUGUCCAAGGAAGGGACAUGACCUUAGUCCUUGGAAAAACCUACAGAGCACUCCUAAGCACAUUCCCACCCUGCUAAGUUGUUUAUCUACAAAUAACAGGAGAGAUCUGCUGCGCCAGGUGUCCCUGACUCAGUCGGGCUAGGUGGGGAUCCAUAACAGCCCCCUAGCAGCCACCAAUCAGCAUGAGACAGGGAAAUACCUGGGAUGCCAGAUAACCCUCCCAGUGGUUUAUGGUGGUUAAUAACAAGUUGGGAAACCAUGUAGUUCAGCAGGUACACCCCUCUUGGCUUAAACCAAUCAGUUCAAAUGAAUACCCCUUUUGUACUGACCAAUCACCCCUACCCAACUUGUUCCCGACAGUGAAUGUGCUAAUCAUGUUUUAGAGUUGUUAUCUGAUUUUCCCGCGGUGUGUGAUGAUUUGCUAAGGGAUGCUAUGAUGUAUGUGAAGUCCCUGCCUUCUCCAAAGAAUGUAUAAAACUACUGCAAACCCUGGGCUUGGGGCCUCUCAGCGUCACCAGUUGCUGUGUGUGGGCGUGGAGGACUGAGCUAGCUCGCAAUAAACACCUCUUU
rnacentral:lncRNA from 1 species